ensembl:lncRNA
CUGUGAUGGUGGUUUUGGAAAAAUCUGUGAGAAUCCUCAAUCUAGCCUCCCGUGAUGGGGUGGGGUGGGGGUCGAGAGGGUAUAUAAGUCCUGAGAGGCACCAGCAACUGUUCAGAAGCCGCAAGUACCUGAAGACAGAGUGGUCUGGAAGGUUAGGAAAGAGGAGGUAUUUCUCACUUGUCAGUGAAAAGAAGGAAGAAUACAUCUGAGACCAGGCGUCCUACAGCUUCUGUGAAAAGUCUCCAUGGUGAAGUCCAGGCUGAGGCUCGCUGGGAACAGUGCACAGUGAAUGUUCAGGCACCUAACUGAAUGGGAUGCGUCUUCAGGGCCAGGAGAAGAUUUGAAAAACCCCCAGGGCAUCAUCAGGGCCUACAAGCACUUGUUUGCUGCCGAGAAACAUACAGAUCGUCAUCGUAUAAACACUGACUCAUUGCCUUCUUUACCGAGAGGGAGAUACGGUUUGCUGUGCUCAAUCUGGUCUGGCUUCCAGAGCAGGGGAUGGAACAAGUGCCAGAUGAAGGAAUGAGCUCAGCAUCCUCGGUGACUGCAGAGAUCUCCGGCUCUACAUUUUCCUUCCUGUAGACACGCGUGACCUCAUGUGACUCUUGCAUAAAAUAUUAAUGAAAAUAACACACUUCUCUUUAUAAAUACUGAGCCAAUCUGUUCUAGAGGAUAUGGAGUACCGAGGAGGAAAAUAGAAUCUUAUUUUUGGAAGUAGGGUGGAGAUGCAGGUGUGUGGAUUCCACCACCUGCGUGUUAUUUUCACUGAGUUUUGCUGGCUUUUCUUACUCACCUGCACUUUCUUUGUUACCUUAAGCACUGUAACCGUGUUACAAGGAAAGCCACACUGUGAUCAAAACUACCUCCUGUUAUUUACUGGCUUUUUGAAAAUUUGUAAUGUGUGAAGUGUGAAAGAACACAGCUUUUUUUAGAGCUCUCCUUGAGUAAUGUCACUGUCAUGGAAGGUCUAAGUGUUGAUGCUAAGGUCGAUAAUCGCUUGUAAGGAUUCUGAGCACCUUCUAGAGGAAGAUGUGCUACCCCUCUUCAGAGGGAUCUUGCACUCACGCUUUAAUGCAGAUUCUCUGGAUAUAACGGUAACUAGAGUCUCUUCCUCUGCCUCUUUUUCUUCUGCGUGUGUGUACGCGCGUGCACUUGCACACCCUUGGCGUCCUCUACAAACUGCUGCCCAGCUACAGCAGUGGGUUGACUCCAGUGAACGUGGCAGCCUUGCAUUCAGCUGGCUUUCUUUUCUUACUCUGUGAUGUGGCCCUAAGGUCAGAGCCGUGGACUGUAAUUUUUGCUGAUCUUGGCAUUGAAGCCCCUCUGAUCUAAUAUGUUUGUCUAUCUAUGAUGUCAUUUGCAUAUCUAGAUUUCUUCAAACCUAACUCCUCUCACCAUGGCAAAAUCAGACAUGCCGAGCUCGAAGGCUUCUAUAUUUAUUUAUUCCCUCUCAGCCUUAAAUUACUCACAUAUUUCAGUUCAUGCAACUGAAAGUUCAAAAUUAGUUUCUGUGAUGAAAUUACAUUGCCACGGCUGGAAAUUAUUUAGUGGAAAACGUGUUCAUCUUCUGAGAAAAUCCUUUUCAACUUUUGAGUUGUGAUUUUUUUUAUUAUUAUUGCUAAGAGUUUUUAGACACAAGAGAAAAUAUUGGGAUGAGAAAGCAGAAGAAGGCUUGUAUGAAAACCUGUAAUGAAAAAUGUUGGUGGUAUAGGGGAAACUUCACAGUAGGUACAGUUUGAUUUCAGUGGUUCCUGUCCAGCCUUCCACUUGCUAGUCACCCUCUUCUCCCUCUCUGGUCAAAUUUUUCUCCUCUCCCCAAUGCUUCCUAUUAGUCCAUGCACCUUGACUGGCCCAUGGGGAAAGUAGUCUGAUAAAGACACUCUCAUUGAUUGGAUAGGGACCUUGGCCAGGUUAAUCCCAUUUUCUAAGAGCUGGGGAAAUGGAAGGAUUGACUUUUUUUAAGUGGUAGGAUUUCAGCUAGUCCUGAGGGAGAUCUUCAGAAAUCCGUUCUUUAAAUAAUGUUGGGGAUCAAGCAGCUAACUUGUCUACCUCGUUGAUACAUGCUGUCUAUUCUGACCUCUAAUAACUUUCUAUAUUAAAUAACUUAACAAUAGUAAUCAAGUAACUUAAGUUUCAAAACUGGUGUGCUUCCCCAACCUUCUUUGUUUUUCCAGGUUUUUUGUGAUAAAAUACACAUGAUGGAAGUUACUGUCUCCAUCGUGUUUAAGUGUACAGUUCAGGGUCAUUAUGUAGACUAAAAUUGUAUUAUCAUCCAUCCCUCUGUCUCCGGACCUCUUCUUGCAAAGUUGAAUCUAGACCCAUAAAACAGUAACCUCCCAUUCUUUCCACCGCCAUCUCCUGGCAACAACUAUUAUACUUCCUGUUUCUAUAAUUUUGACUAAAUAUUUCUUAUAGGGUGAUUCAUAAAGUAUUUAUCUUUUUGUGGCUGACCUUAUUUUACUUAGCAUAAUAUCUUCCAGUUUCAGUUAUGUUGUGGUAUAUGUCAGGAUUUCCUUCCUUUUUAAGGCUGAAUAAUAUUCCAUUGCAUGACCAGAUCACAUUUUGCUUAUCUGUUCAUCCAUAGGUAGACACUUGGCUUGCUUCCACCUCUUCGCUGUUGUGAAUAAUGCUACUAUAAACACAAGUGUGCAAAUAACCUUGAGUCUCUUCACCACCUUUCUUAUAUGGCCUUGUUAAAUUCAAAUGCUGAAAAGAGAUUUGUGCUUAGCCUCUGGGCUUUUUUAGGACAAGCUGUAAGGCUUCUGCAUAGUAGUAUUUGAAGUAUCCUCUUUUUCCCAGCCUCUUAAUGCUACUGAUUGCAUUUAGUCCUCAAAUAUCAAGCAAAACUUUCAGUUUGUCUUGUAUUAAAAUGCAAAUGAUCCUGGGACAGAGGUCACAGAUAAGCUAUUAGCACCUUGGUGUGAGUUAGUUUCAUCAGCUCCUUAGACACUUUCUCUGCCCUCUUCCCAGUUCUUGACUGCUUGCUCUUUAUUACAAUUGUUCUUUAUAAUCUUGCAUUAUUACUACCUUGAAUUUAUUUAUAUUUUGCUAGUCCCAGUGGAAUAGAAGCUUCUUAAGAGCAGGAUUCUUAUAUCAUUUAUGUUGGUUUUUAAAGCUCUGAUAAAAUGUCACACACAGACAAUUGUAAACUGUUCAUUAAUUUGUGGGGCAUUUAUUGGGGCCCCACUCCAUGAAUCUUAAAAUCAGGCCUUUCUAGAAAGCCUGGGUAGCUAAGGGUCAAUGCUGUCAUUCGCAGUUUUGGCAAUUUACUCUCAAAUGUAACUUUCUGUAUCUUUAGGUAUGGGGACUGGAUCCCAAUGAGUGAAUCCACAUCUCAGAGGGUUUCUGUCACAAAUAUACCCAGGUGUGUUUUGUUUUGUUUUGUUUUUUGUUUUUUGGUACCGGGGAUCGAACUCGGGUCCUUGGGCUUGCAAAGCAGGCGGUGGAACCAUUGAGCUAAAUCCCCCAGCCCAAUACCCAGGUUUCACUGCUGCUGUUCAGAAGAAUCAUCAGUCUAAGUCAGUUUUACAUCCUUCUGUUUGAAAGGAGGAUGAAAGUUCAACAAGCAUUUUCGAGCAGCAUGACAAACUUGUCUGAUUGCUCUGAAUCUGUUUUCAUUGUCAGGACUUGAACAGAUACGUUGUGUGAUCAAAAUAUACAGUGAAUCUUUAAAUUUUAAAGAACUGGGGGGGAAUUGAAAUGUUUUAUGUACAUGUACCAAUCCCAUACAAUGAGUAUAAUCAUUGAGUACUGGAAAGAUGUACUAAUAAAAGUCAAGUGAAUAAAAGUUUUAAAAACCUUCAAAAUAAAUUUAAAAUGUUUAUUAUAGUAAAAGGCACAUUGCCAUUAAUCCCUCUCAAAAUUCUCUCCCCUCUCUUCCAACACACCCCAUGGUACUUGAAACUUUCUGAAGCAGUUCUGGAGUCUUCUUUCCAGAGUGUCUUUAUGCAGUAUGUUCAAAAAUACAGUAAAUAACACUGCUGAGUUCCUCCAAUGGAAAGGCAGGCUCAUAAAAAUAAGAUGUCUUCACCUUAUUCACGGGAUUUGACACUGGGCAACUUCUGGCUCUUCCCUAAAGUCACAAUGUCCCUGAAACAUUUGAAUUGAUUCAGAACAUCAAGGCAGCCAGAACAGCACAACUACAGACAUUCACAAAAGAAGACUUCCCACAACUGCUUCAGAAAGUAGCAAGAAGGAUGGAAUGUGUAUGUUCAAAGUGAGGGGAAAGUUUUUAGGGAGAGUGAUAGUGUAUCAUUUGCUAUUAUACAUUUUAAAAAAUUUAAACAUUCACAGCAUUUUUGACCCACGGUGUGUGGAUUCACGUAGCACAUUGUUAGCAGAACACCCCCUGCCCCACCACCCCGAGAUGUGUGACUCCUUUGGUUAAUAUGCUUUGUGUUGACUCACAACCGCCACUCAUAAUAUGCAGUGUGUAGAAGCAACUCCUAGCCCAGGGACAGUAUGUACACUCACUUUUGUUUUGGCUGACCAUUAAUCCCACAAUGUCUCUUUAGGAAAGAGCAGUCACUCUGCCAGUUGGGUGGUACUUCCCCUUUAGAAGGUAACAACCAGUCCUAAACCUAAAUCAGUACUUGAGGCUCUGGCCUCAGAAUUUGAAAAUUCUAAGUGAUCUUACUAUAAAAGAUAAUGGACAAAUUAUUCUGGUUUUUUAAAUUGUUAUUGCUAUUGUCAUUCCUAUGUUACUGCUACCAUUCCCU